UUCACCUCCUAUUAUCACUAUCACCAUUCAAGAGUUUGGAAAAGAUGACACAUAUCCCUCCAUUCAACUUGAAGCUCACGGCUUCAUAUUAACUCAAGCACCUCACCCUUUUACUAUAAAUAGCCACUAUAUGUCUCAUUUCCAAACCACACCAUCAUCAAUCAUCAUGAAUCUUCAAUUAACGUAAUCUUAGCACUAUAACAAGAUAUCAAGGAAUUUAAGCAACACAAGCAUAGGGAAUUGAAGGUUAAUGGUUUUGGAGUUCUUGCUAGGAAGGAUAUUUUGAUCUUGUUACAUCGUGAAUCUGAAUUCAUUGUCUCAUUAGUCAUCACUUUCUCUCGGUCAUCAUCAUUUUCACUGUUGCUAGAGGAAAUUAAAUGCUCGGAGCAUAAGUAGAAGAAACAUGCUUUAUGGGAGUCACACAUGCAUUCACUAACGGAUAAAGAUUUUCUAGAAUUUCUAUUAAAUCAUCUUGUAGAUACUCUAGAAUAAGUCUUGUACACUUCAUGUAAGAUCUUGGUUUUAUAUCAAUAUUAUUUCAAAACGUCUAAUUUA